AGCAUGAAGCCCCCCUCAAGAUGAGAUUUCCCAUCGCUUCGAGCGAGUAAGAUCCCUCAGAGACGAUGAGGUUGAUAGGUCCGAGGUGGAAGCGUGGUGACACGUGGAGCUGACGGAUACUAAUCGAUCGAGGACUUAACUUC
rnacentral:rRNA from 1 species